UACAUGCUCUUUUUAUUCCCCAUAAUCUCUUAUCCCUUUCUCUGCCAAUGUUAUUCCUGAUUAUUCCUUUAAAAUCAUAUAAGCAUGAAAAUGUUCUUUCUCUCAUUUGGAUAUAUAAUCCUAAUUAAACAGAGUCCCGGUAUUUUCUUAAAAGAUAUGGAGCUCAUCUGUCAACUUGUACCAAUAUCAGAUUUAAUUCUACACAUUGCUGCAAUUAUUAAGAAACAUUUGAGGAAUGUUGACAUUCAAAUCAACUAUAGCAUAAAACAUGUACCAAAAAGAUGAUGAUGUUAAAUAACUUUUAGAAGACUAUGAAACUUGGUUGUCAAGGGGUACUUAAUUGCUAUCACAUUGUCUCUUGAUUAAUGCACAUAAAGUAUAAAAGUAUCUUUAAUCAAAACUAACUCAAGAAUAGAACGAAUCAGAAAUAUAAUAGGAUUAGUAAGUUCUAUUAACUGGAUAUUCACACACAUCACGAAGCAAGAGUUUAGGAGAGAUCAGGCCGAAGAGGUUUCUGGUGGAGGAGGGUCAACUCUAAGGAAAACAUUGGAAGGUGAUGGGAUGUGGAAACAUCAUCUAUUGAAAUGACUUCCACAACAAGAGAUAAACAUCUUUCUCUCUUAAUAAAUCAUUACAUCUCCACUGUCCAUUGCACUUUGGCCCCUACCUUUUUACAAUAGCUGGAAAAUAUUCACUGUGCCUGUAGGGCUAGACAGCAAUAGGAAUGAUAAAAAGAAGAGUUGACAACUAUGAUUCAUUAAAUGUAUACUGUGUGCAUACAUGGUGCUCAUUUGUAUUGGCCAGACAAUUUAUAAAGCAGUUAUAAUAAUCCUCAUUUUUCAGAAGAGGAACCUGAUGCUCAGGUCACAACGUAGUUUAUCUAAGAUCACACUGAUGGAAGUGGCAUAACUGGGAUUAUAAUUCACACCCAUCUGACUCUUAAAUUUAAGCUAGUGGCUGAACUAAUUUACACUCCCACCAACAGUGUAAUAAAAGUGUUUCUAUUUCUCCACAUCCUCUCCAGCAUCUGUUGUUUCCUGACUUUUUAAUGAUUGCCAUUCCAACUGUCAUGAGAUGGUAUCUCAUUGUGGUUUUGAUUUGCAUUUCUCUAAUGACUAGUGAUACUGAGCUUUUUUUCAUAUGUUUGUUGGCAGUAUAAAUGUCUUCUUCUGAGAAGUGUCUGUUUAUACCUUUUGCCCACUUUUUGAUGGGGCUCUUUGUGUUUUUCUUGUAAAUUUGUUUAAGUUAUUUGCAGAUUCUGGAUAUUAGCACUUUGUCAGAUGGAUAGAUUGCAAAACUUUUCUCCCAUUCUGUAGGUUGCCUGUCCACUCUGAUGACAGUUUCUUUGCUGUGCAGAAGCUCUUUAGUUUAAUUAGAUCCCAUUUGUCAAUUUUGGCUUUUGUUGUCAUUGCUUUUGGUAUUUUAGUCAUGAAGUCUUUGUUCAUGCCUAUGUUCUGAAUGGUAUUGCCUAGGUUUUCCUCUAGGGUUUUUAUGGUAUUAGGUCUUACAUUUAAGUCUUUAAUCCAUCUUGAGUUAAUUUUUGUGUAAGGUGUAAGGAAGGGGUCCAGUUUUAGUUUUCUGCAUAUGGCUAGCCAGUAUUCCCAAAACUGUUUAUUAAAUAGGGAAUCCUUUCCCCAUUACUUGUUUCUGUCAGGUUUGUCAAAGAUCAGAUGGUUGUAGAUGUGUGGAAUUAUUUCUGAGGCCUCUGUUCUGUUCUGUUCUGUUCUGUUGGUCUAUAUAUCUGUUUUAGUAUCAAAACCAUGCUGUUUUGGUUACUGUAGGCUUGUAGUGUAGUUUGAAGUCAGGUAGUGUGAUGCCUCCAGCUUUGUUCUUUUUGCUUAGGAUUGUGUUGGCUAUAUGGGCUCUUUUUUGGUUCCAUGUGAAAUUUAAUGUAGUUUUUUCCAAUCCUGUGAAGAAAGUCAAUGGUAGUUUGACGGGGAUAGCAUUGAAUCUAUAAAUUACUUUGGGCAGUAUGGCCAUUUUCACAAUAUUGAUUCUUCCUAUCCAUGAGAAUGGUGGAAGACAGUGUGGCAAUUCCUCAAGGAUCUAGAACCAGAAAUACCGUUUGACCCAGCAAUCCCAUUACUGGAUAUAUACCCAAAGGAUUAUAAAUCAAUCUACUAUAAAGACACAUCCACACAUAUGCAGCACUCUUCAUAAUAGCGAAGACUUGGAACCAACCCAAAUGCCCAUCAAUGAUAGACUGGAAAAAGAAAAUGUGGCACAUACACACCAUGGAAUACUAUACAGCAUAAAAAAGAAUGAGUUCAUGUCCUUUCAGGGACAUGGAUGAAACUGGAAACCAUAAUUCUCAGCAAACUAACACAGGAACAGAAAACCAAACACCACAUGUUCUCACUCAUAAGUGGGGGUUGAACAAUGAGAACACAUGGACACAGGGAGGGGAACAUCGCACACCAGGACCUGUCGGGGGUGGGGGACUAGGGGAUGGAUAGCAUUAGGAGAAACACCUAAUGUAGAUGAUGUUUUGAUGGGUGCAGCAAACCACCAUGGCACAUGUAUACCUAUAUAACAAACUUGCAUGUUCUGCACAUGUAUCCCAGAACUUAAAGUAUAAUAAUAAUAAAAAAAUUAAGCUAGUAACCACUGCAUGACACAGUGCUUUUUGGAGGGAAUGAGCUCAUCAAAUAAUGACAUACCUAGUAAGCUCUCUCUGGAAAGAUUCAAGUUAUAGAUGUGAAAAAGCUUUGAAAGCCAGAGAGUGCUACAGAGAUGCAAGGCAUUGUUCCUGUUUAUUUACUUUUCUUUGUUUUUCCCCUUUUCUGUCGUCACCUUUGGUAAAUAGAAGAAUCAUCUUAAAAAUGUGCAAUUCUCUUCUCUAGAUCUAUUCUCUAGAUCCAUUCUAAAAUGAAACAUAUUCUUCGGUAACCUAAGACAGUAUAAAAUAGUAGAAUUACUAUAAGAUAAACCCUUAACCUCUAUAAUUCAAACUGUACGUAUCACCUUUUAUUUUCUAUCAGUCUAACUUUUUGUAAUGUACACCCAAACGUAAAGAUCAACUAAUAAAUCUGACUCAAGUCUUCACCUUCCAGUAUUGCAUAAGAGCAAAAUUAUACCGAUGAAAACAAAAGGCCUCUGUAAAAAUCCUGCAAAGUACAUAAUUUUAAAAAGUAAAACAAAUUGUAAAGUAAUCAGUCCUAUAGAAAUGACAUCCCUAACCUUUCCCUAAA
ensembl:lncRNA